rnacentral:rRNA from 1 species
CCUACGGGUGGCUGCAGUGGGGAAUAUUGGACAAUGGGCGCAAGCCUGAUCCAGCAAUGCCGCGUGUGUGAAGAAGGCCUGCGGGUUGUAAAGCACUUUAAGCAGGAAAGAAGGCUUCAGGGUUAAUACCCUUGGGGAUUGACGUUACCUGCAGAAUAAGCACCGGCUAACUCCGUGCCAGCAGCCGCGGUAAUACGGAGGGUGCGAGCGUUAAUCGGAAUUACUGGGCGUAAUGCGCGAAGAGGGCGGUGAAAGCCCCGGGCUUAAACUGGGAACUGCAGUGGAGACUGGCAAGCUAGAGUAUGGUAGAGGAGAGUGGAAUUUCCGGUGUAGCAGUGAAAUGCGUAGAGAUCGGAAGGAACACCAGUGGCGAAGGCGGCUCUCUGGACUAAUACUGACGCUGAGGUGCGAAAGCGUGGGGAGCAAACAGGAUUAGAUACCCCUGUAGUC